rnacentral:lncRNA from 1 species
CUGGGAAUAUGUAGUAACUGCAGCAGGAUUUACCCAGUCUUUGGGUGAAGACAUGCAAAGCAGCUUCCUGCAGUGCUGCUUAUUUUGGAGGAUACAUCCCAGCAUCUGCAGGGGCUCAGCACCACAGUUAACUUGAGGAAGCCUAGGCCUGUGCUGUGCUGCACUGUGCUGCACAUACAGCUUGGGUUUCGGGCCUGUGCUGCGCUGUGCAUUUCUGUGCCUGCAGGAUGACCCUGGCCAGCUCACAGCAGAGGAACAUGCAGGCAAAUCUGCCUGGCAUGCUGCACGCCAAUCAGAGGACCACUCGAUCCAGGUUUCCUGCAUCUGAAGGGACGUAAGACAACCUGUACUAUUUUCUCUUUCUUUGUAGUGUUAGCUCUAGCAAAUACUAUUUUAAAACAUACCUUACAGAGCCAAGCACCUUUCUUAUAGGAACACAGUGAGUCACCACCUCCUGGCACAAAACACCUCCUGCCCCAGGCCCUGCUCCUGAGGCCGCCUGGGACACUGGCAGUUUGUGGGCAAAUUGUGCACCUUAUUGUUUUUGACUCCUUUGUUACUCCCUUAUCGGCUUGCUACAGCUCCUCACACUGCUGUCUCUGUUCCCUACAACUGCAUCCUCCUAAUGGUACAAGGCUUCCUUCCUGCUCAAUUUGAGAUGAGAGAAAGCUGACAGCCAUUGAGACGGUGUGAGAAGCGAGCCUGCUCUCUCCUGCUCUGGCCGGAGCUCUCCCUGGAGGACCACAGAUUGGCAACAAGAAGUUUCCAAGCCCUCAGCCACAAAAGCACAGGCCUGGAAUCUCUGUAAUGAGAGUUUCCCUCUUUGCCGUUUGCCAGGAGAACAAGGACCAGGCAUCAAUAUCAAAACCGACCAGAUUCCAAUGAAAGCCAGCAAAGAAAAAUAAGAACGGAAAGCAAAUCAUUUUGCUGGUUACAAACAGGCAAGUAAAGCUACAGAGGCGCAGCCAACAGGACCGCCCUGCAGCCCUGCCACGCAGCGUCCUGCUGCCACCCACAGGGACGGGUCCCACAGUGCCUCCAUCGCCCUUCCAGACGGGCGAGUGCUUCGCCC